rnacentral:rRNA from 1 species
CCUUACUACUUGGAUAACCGUGGUAAUUCUAGAGCUAAUACAUGCUAAAAAUCCCGACUUCGGAAGGGAUGUAUUUAUUAGAUUAAAAACCAAUGCCCUUCGGGGCUCCUUGGUGAUUCAUGAUAACUUCUCGAAUCGCAUGGCCUUGCGCCGGCGAUGGUUCAUUCAAAUUUCUUCCCUAUCAACUUUCGAUGUUUGGGUAUUGGCCAAACAUGGUUGCAACGGGUAACGGAGGGUUAGGGCUCGACCCCGGAGAAGGAGCCUGAGAAACGGCUACUACAUCCAAGGAAGGCAGCAGGCGCGCAAAUUACCCAAUCCCGACACGGGGAGGUAGUGACAAUAAAUACUGAUACAGGGCUCUUUUGGGUCUUGUAAUUGGAAUGAGUACAAUUUAAAUCCCUUAACGAGGAACAAUUGGAGGGCAAGUCUGGUGCCAGCAGCCGCGGUAAUUCCAGCUCCAAUAGCGUAUAUUAAAGUUGUUGUGGUUAAAAAGCUCGUAGUUGAACCUUGGGCCUGGCUGGCCGGUCCGCCUCACCGCGUGUACUGGUCCGGCCGGGCCUUUCCCUCUGUGGAACCCCAUGCCCUUCACUGGGUGUGGCGGGGAAACAGGACUUUUACUUUGAAAAAAUUAGAGUGCUCCAGGCAGGCCUAUGCUCGAAUACAUUAGCAUGGAAUAAUAGAAUAGGACGUGUGGUUCUAUUUUGUUGGUUUCUAGGACCGCCGUAAUGAUUAAUAGGGACAGUCGGGGGCAUCAGUAUUCCGUUGUCAGAGGUGAAAUUCUUGGAUUUACGGAAGACUAACUACUGCGAAAGCAUUUGCCAAGGAUGUUUUCAUUAAUCAGGAACGAAAGUUAGGGGAUCGAAGACGAUCAGAUACCGUCGUAGUCUUAACCAUAAACUAUGCCGACUAGGGAUCGGACGAUGUUAUUUUUUGACUCGUUCGGCACCUUACGAGAAAUCAAAGUGC